rnacentral:rRNA from 1 species
CAGCAGCCGCGGUAAUACGUAGGGUGCGAGCGUUAAUCGGAAUUACUGGGCGUAAAGCGUGCGCAGGCGGUUCGUUAAGACAGAUGUGAAAUCCCCGGGCUUAACCUGGGAACUGCAUUUGUGACUGGCAAGCUAGAGUGUGGCAGAGGGGGGUGGAAUUCCGCGUGUAGCAGUGAAAUGCGUAGAUAUGCGGAGGAACACCGAUGGCGAAGGCAGCCCCCUGGGCCAACACUGACGCUCAUGCACGAAAGCGUGGGGAGCAAACAGGAUUAGAUACCCGAGUAGUCCCUGUCUUUAUACC